rnacentral:rRNA from 1 species
AGUGAACGCUGGCGGUAGGCCUAACACAUGCAAGUCGAACGGCAGCUCAGUAAGAGCUUGCUCUUACGGGUGGCGAGUGGCGGACGGGUGAGGAAUACAUCGGAAUCUACUUUUUCGUGGGGGAUAACGUAGGGAAACUUACGCUAAUACCGCAUACGACCUACGGGUGAAAGCAGGGGAUCUUCGGACCUUGCGCGAUUGAAUGAGCCGAUGUCGGAUUAGCUAGUUGGCGGGGUAAAGGCCCACCAAGGCGACGAUCCGUAGCUGGUCUGAGAGGAUGAUCAGCCACACUGGAACUGAGACACGGUCCAGACUCCUACGGGAGGCAGCAGUGGGGAAUAUUGGACAAUGGGCGCAAGCCUGAUCCAGCCAUACCGCGUGGGUGAAGAAGGCCUUCGGGUUGUAAAGCCCUUUUGUUGGGAAAGAGAAGCAGCAGGUUAAUACCCCGCUGUUCUGACGGUACCCAAAGAAUAAGCACCGGCUAACUUCGUG